ACUGCCAGCCCCUACUCCACACAAUGUUGGUUAAUAAUGACUCACGUUGCGCCCCUAACGAGGGCAAAACCUUUGUUCGCGAUAUCAGCGACGACACAAGCUCCUGUCGUUGACACAACCCACUUCUGCUGCAACGUGAAGUGCCCACAGGAGGCUCCAAUCUUUGUUUACUUUGCACAUAACAGAAGCUGCAAUACGUGCUGGGUUGCAAUUUUUGUCAUCUCUGCCAGCUGCACGAGUGCUACUUUGCUCGGAGCGAGAGCGAUAACUUCGUGGCUUAGUUUGCGGUUCGUUUCUGCGCGCCCGACCGACGCACGGCGAUACCUCCAGCGGAUUUUUUUUUUUAUUUCUGUCACAAGGGAAAAAAAAAUCAGCUGAUAAAAUGGAUAUAUAAGUUGAUUCGGGGUUGCAAUUCGUACUCACAUCACCUUAAAAAGCUUUGUUGUGACAGGACUUUCCAGGACACCGUUUCAGUACAGCGAUGGUUUAGAUACAAAUCUUGGCACAAGCUGUGAACUGGAAAAGUUCGAGGGACCAAACUUUCGUCACAUCAACUGUUUAUCAAACGGCGCACAAGGUUGAGCGAAUGUACUCGACACACAUCUACAGCGUCGAGCAGCAAGAAGAACAGAUUAAAAUAAACAAACAAAACUGGAGGAUAAAAAAAAAACUCUUCCUAUCGCUCCUGCAGGAUUUCCAAGGAUUUCCACUGACAGUAGGAGCUGGGAAUGCAGUGCACCACUCUGUGUUGUGGUGGUGAAGAUAAGACGAGUGUCACUGAAUCAUCCUGUCUUUCCUGGCCUGCACACCUUGACUGAUUCUCAAACAUGCAGUAAGAGUAAAGACAUGGAGAAAUCUACUUCCACAAUUUCGUUUGAAGAAAACGGGGAAAAAAAAACAACUGUAACCUCUGACCAGAAAAUGUGGUGAUGGGAGGGUAGAAAAUUAUUUUCCCCAAGAGAAACAAUGGCAAAGACUCUCAGUCAGCUGAACAGCAGUUUGACAAACAUCGACGGAAGUUAGAGAAGUUUGUCCUGACCACUGUCUAGAUUAUGGGCACCGGUGUGUUUGGAUUACCUGAGAUUUUCUGAACCCUCAUUCAUCUUGGGGAAAAAUAAUUCCGC